AUGAUCUAGCGGGCUAUUUUUUUCGUUGUCCCUCUUCUUUCUGUUUUCACUCACUUUCCUUAACUUCAUCUUCAACAACCAACACCCGCCAAUUUUCCAUAUCCUUCACUCUCAAUUUCACUAAGUUUCCUCCCAAUUUCGUUAAGUUUCCUCUUAAUUUCGUGAAACCUUCGCUCUCGAUUUCAAUAACCUUCACACUUCAACAACCAAAACUUUCACUCUCAAUUUCCUACACAAUCGCUUCCGCCAUCGUUUUCCCCUUUCUCACUCCCCUUUUUUAGCUAUUCUGUGAGCCAUCACUUCAGAUCGAUGGCUCGUCGCAUUUGGAUUUCAUCGAGUUGUAGUCGUUUGGAUUUCACAGUACGUCGCAUUCGGAUUUCACGUUUUCAGGUUGAUUUACUUGCUCUCUUCACAUAGUUUAUAAAAGGUAAAUUGAAAUAAUUUUACUGUCAUACUGUUGUUGAAUUGAAAGCUAUAUGAUUAUGAAUUAACACAAGAGCUUUAUGAUUCUAGCUUUAAUUUUAUAAUUUGAUUCAGAGCUAGAAACAAGUUUAGAUUUUCUAAAUUUAACCUAUGGAAUUUUGAUACUUGAAGCUUCCAUAAUUUUAGUUCAUUAUUGUAAUAAACCAUGCCUAAUGUCAUGUUCAUGAUUAUAUUGUGUUUUCGUCUACGUUUUCUGGUGUAUGAUUAUCAUGAAAAAAUAUAUUGAGAUGACAUUUUUUUUAAAGUAGUCUAUCAUGUUUGAUUAUAAUUGUAGUUUUGUUGUCUUAAUAAUUGCUGAAUUGAAGUUGGUUUGAGGCAUAUUAUAGUACAUUCGUAAGAACUCGGCUUAACCAUGAUUAUUGUAAAAUUCCAAUUCUUUACAUAUUAGUAAUUACUGUUAAUUGUUUCUUGUUGGCUUAGGUAAAAUUUAUGAGUAACUAUUUUCUUCCCAACUCCAAUAUAAAUUCUCAAGUAACUACAAUGAAAUUUCACUUUAAUGUUGCUUUAGUUUCUAAUUGAUCAAUAACUUUAGUCGAGCAAUUAUGAAACUUAGAGGGCCAAUUGAUCAAUAACUUGAUUCACUUUAAUGUUGCUUUAGUUUCUUUUUCUCAUUUGUUUUCUUUUCUGAUUUUGAACGACUUUAUAUUGAGGAGAUCAUUAAGUGGUAACAGAAACAAUCAGCUACAUUGGGUACUCCACACACUACAAGUAAAUUGUAGCAACUGGUAUGGUCGGUAAUGACCUUCUCAAUUUGAGCAUGAGAAAAUGAGUUCUGAGAUUGUAGCUCGUGUAUUGGUUAAGGCUCUCAUGCAUGGCUAUGCCAACUCCAAACAUCAGCCUAUGUCUCAUUUUAAUUCCAGAACGUGUGGUAUAUGAUUCUUACAAAGUAUUCUUUUCUUUGUAGUUGUUCUUGUUCUCAUGCACGAUUAAUUAGAUA